rnacentral:rRNA from 1 species
GUGUGGCAGGCUUACACAUGCAAGUCGAGCGGAGUGAUGGUGCUUGCACUAUCACUUAGCGGCGGACGGGUGAGUAAUGCUUAGGAAUCUGCCUAUUAGUGGGGGACAACAUCUCGAAAGGGAUGCUAAUACCGCAUACGUCCUACGGGAGAAAGCAGGGGAUCACUUGUGACCUUGCGCUAAUAGAUGAGCCUAAGUCGGAUUAGCUAGUUGGUGGGGUAAAGGCCUACCAAGGCGACGAUCUGUAGCGGGUCUGAGAGGAUGAUCCGCCACACUGGGACUGAGACACGGCCCAGACUCCUACGGGAGGCAGCAGUGGGGAAUAUUGGACAAUGGGGGGAACCCUGAUCCAGCCAUGCCGCGUGUGUGAAGAAGGCCUUAUGGUUGUAAAGCACUUUAAGCGAGGAGGAGGCUCUUUUGGUUAAUACCCAAGAUGAGUGGACGUUACUCGCAGAAUAAGCACCGGCUAACUCUGUGCCAGCAGCCGCGGUAAUACAGAGGGUGCAAGCGUUAAUCGGAUUUACUGGGCGUAAAGCGCGCGUAGGCGGCCAAUUAAGUCAAAUGUGAAAUCCCCGAGCUUAACUUGGGAAUUGCAUUCGAUACUGGUUGGCUAGAGUGUGGGAGAGGAUGGUAGAAUUCCAGGUGUAGCGGUGAAAUGCGUAGAGAUCUGGAGGAAUACCGAUGGCGAAGGCAGCCAUCUGGCCUAACACUGACGCUGAGGUGCGAAAGCAUGG